CGAAUCGGUAGACGCUACGGACUUAAAUAAUUUGAGCGUUAGUAGAAAAACUUACUAAAUGCUAGCUUUCAGAUUCAGGGAAACUUAGGUUGAUAAAAAUAUAAGCAAUCCUGAGCCAAAUCUUAUUUCGUUCGGAAAUAAAAUAGGUGCAGAGACUCAAUGGAAGCUAUCCUAACGAAUAAUAUUUUUAAAAUUAUUUAAAAUUUAUUUUUUAGAUAUUAAGCGAGGAUAAAGAUAGAGUCCAAUUUUACAUGUUAAUCUUAGCAACAAUUUAAAUUGUAGUAGAAAGAAAAUCCGUUGGCUUUAUUGACCGUGAGGGUUCAAGUCCCUCUACCCCCA
rnacentral:ncRNA from 1 species